UACGAAGGGGGCUAGCGUUGUUCGGAAUUACUGGGCGUAAAGCGCGUGUAGGCGGGUCUUUAAGUCAGGGGUGAAAUGCCAAGGCUCAACCUUGGAACUGCCUUUGAUACUGGAGAUCUUGAGUCCGGGAGAGGUGAGUGGAAUUGCGAGUGUAGAGGUGAAAUUCGUAGAUAUUCGCAAGAACACCAGUGGCGAAGGCGGCUCACUGGACUGGUAUUGACGCUGAGGUGCGAAAGCGUGGGGAGCAAACAGG
rnacentral:rRNA from 1 species